UGGAUGGAACAUUCUGCUCUUUCUCCAUCUGCUGCCUACCCAUGAUGUCUUGGGACUCCUAGAACCCUAAAGGAAGCCCCUGGACACGCAGGAAGGUGAUCCAGAAUUACUCCCGAACUCUACCAGCUGAAAUCCUCCUCAACUCACAUCAGACAAGACGGCCCUGCCACUUACCUGUCAGAUCACUUUGGGCAGUUUACAGGAGAGAAGAUGCAGCCUGGGAGAGAUGCAGCAGGUGUCUGAGGCCACACAGCAAGUCACCCAGGGCCAGGAUCUGAAGCUGGGUCUCUCCAGCUCCACUGCCUGGGCACUUUCUCCUCCACAGCGACCUUCAGGUCAUCAUGAGGAGCCUUUCGGACUAAAGCUAGAGAGCUGGGAUUCCAACAGUUCAGCAACCCAUGACUUCUCCAUGGCAGCUGCUGCCUGACCACCUAGUGCCUUUCCACUAAGAUUGUUCCUUCCCUCUCCUGAAGAUUAUCCUCCUGCCCCUCUCUCCCAAACAUCUGCGGUGUGCACCUGCUGCCCAAAGUUGAACUUUUUUUUGUUAGAGACAGGGCCUCACUGUGUCAUCCAGGCUGGAGUGCAGUGGCGUGAUCAUAGCUCACUGCAGCCUCCAACUCCUGGGCUCAAGUGACCCUCUCACCUCAGCUUCCUGAGUAGCUGGGACUACAGGCAUGCACCACCACGCCUGGCUAAUUUUUAAAUUUUUUGCAGAGACAGGGUCUAGCUAUGUUGCCCACCCUGGUCUUGAACUCCUGGGCUCAAGCAAUCUGUCUGCCUUGGUCUCCCAGCUCGCUGGGAUUACAGGCAUGAAUCACCAUGCCCGGUCCUCCAAAGUUGAACUUUUGAGACUCAGUUUCCUUCUUGGUAAAUUCAGGCUCCUAGGUGCUACCUCCUCAGAGACAUCCUCCUUGACCACAUCACAUGACCUCUCGCAGAGGCCAGAUUCUUUAAUGUAUUCAUUUGUCUAUUAUCAUGUUUCCCCAGUAGAAGUUGCACAAACGGCAGGGGCUUCAUCUGUUUUGUUUGCCGUUAUGUCCUUAGCACCUAAAAUUGUGCCUGGCACAUAUAGUACUCAGUAUGUAUUUGCUGGGUCAAUGAGUGAGUGAAUUUAUACUAAUAACAGCAGCUACCAUUUCUAGAGUGUUUACCAUAUAUUGGGCACUGUGUCAAUCUUCCCAACAACCCACAGACGAAGAUCAAUUAUUACACCCAUUGUACAGAUCAGGAAACUGAGUCAGGUUAAGAAACUUGCCCUAAAUCCUACAGUCUCACUUAGAACUUCUGACUGCAGUGCUCAUCAGAAUGCAUUGUCAACCCAAAGGUCAUUUCCAGCUCAGGUGGCUUCUAUCAAAAGAGCUCAUCCUGGCCUUUCCAAGAGCCAGACCUCCGACAUCGGUGGAGCCCUGUGCAUAGCUGGCCUCUCCUGGGCGUCUUGUCCCAAGUACAGAGACCUGGAUCCUUUCCCACUCAUGU
rnacentral:lncRNA from 1 species